rnacentral:rRNA from 1 species
CCUACGGGUGGCUGCAGUGGGGAAUAUUGGACAAUGGGCGAAAGCCUGAUCCAGCCACGCCGCGUGUGUGAAGAAGGCCUUCGGGUUGUAAAGCACUUCAGUGGGGAAGAAAGCCUUGGGGCUAAUACCCUCGAGGAAGGACAUCACCCACAGAAGAAGCACCGGCUAACUCCGUGCCAGCAGCCGCGGUAAUACGGAGGGUGCGAGCGUUAAUCGGAAUUACUGGGCGUAAAGCGCGCGUAGGCGGUCUGAUAAGCCGGUUGUGAAAGCCCCGGGCUCAACCUGGGAACGGCAUCCGGAACUGUCAGGCUAGAGUGCAGGAGAGGAAGGUAGAAUUCCCGGUGUAGCGGUGAAAUGCGUAGAGAUCGGGAGGAAUACCAGUGGCGAAGGCGGCCUUCUGGACUGACACUGACGCUGAGGUGCGAAAGCGUGGGUAGCAAACAGGAUUAGAUACCCCAGUAGUC